rnacentral:sRNA from 1 species
UUGAUAGCUGUGUAGCCUGACAUCCUCAAUCCACAGAGCAGGUAGCGCGGGCAGAGGUCAUGCAAGUUGACCCUACACUUGCCUGCUAAUAGACCUGGCCCUUGAACUGUAGCAAUCACAUCUCGGGGUGAGAGGGUAAUUCAGUCUUAUGCCUAUUCAGUCCUUGGCCUUU